CAUGGUUUCAUUUUCUAUGGUUCCAGUUACUCAUGGUCAACCAUGGUCAGAAAACAGGUGCUAGUUCUGUGAUAGCAGGCGAGUUCUCGUGAGAUCUCAUCAUUGAAAAGUGUGUGGCACCUCCCCCAACCUUGGUCCUGCUCCUGUAACAUGUAAGACACCUGCUCCUGCUUUGCCUUCUGCCAGGAGUAAAAGCUCCCCUAGGCCUCCUACAAGGCAGAUGCUGCCAUGCUUCUUGCACAACCUGUGGAACCAUAAGCCAAUUAAACCUCUUUUCUUCACCCAGUCUCAGGACAAACUGAGAGUAAAAGAUGCAGGAAUAAAACACAGAAAUCAAAAUAAAGGGUUUACUGCUGAAAAAUCCGCUUGAACAAGCCUGUUAAUGUGAUCUUCCUGAAUGAAGCCAGCUUACCCCUAGGCCUCCACUGUCCCUCAGGAAAGAGAACACGAAAACUGGAACUCUCUGCAGAAAGGAGGAUCCCAAAGAAGGGGCCAAGCUGUACAUUUAUCAAUCAGGAAAGCCACUCCACCCUCCAUGGCAGCCCCUACAAUUUGAAACAAGUAUUCUUCCUAACAUAACACAUUAAUUCAUGAGUUUAUCAGUUCAUUUCAUUUUUACUUUGAGAUUUUUGUGAAUAACCAUAGAAAAAUCUAUUUCACCUGGCAAUAAAUAGGAAAAGGCACAGCAUAAUGUUUAAAUACAGAGAAUAUUGUUACAUGUAAGAUGUUGAUUGAAUGUUCUAAAUACAAUUUGAAAACUGCGUGAGAGGAGGAAAACGUAUAUUCAGAAGGACUUAGGUGAAUCCAGAUGAAUAUUUUCAUGACAGGAUGUUGGCUAUUGAUAUGAAGAAAGUAGAGGAAUAGACUUGCUAAAAGUUAGAGGAGUCUAGUUUAUCUUCCAAGAAGCUUUGCAACCCUGUAAUACUGUAGAAAUCACAAAUUUGGCAAUAAUUUUAAGAUAAUUUAUGUUCAUUUUUUAUGGAAUGCCAUGUUUAUCUUUUUAUAUAUGACAUUUUCUGGUCAGUAGUAAUAUAUAUAUCCUUUAUUAAAAUUGGAAAAUAAAUACAAACAUUUUAUUUAUUUAUUGGUUAAAAAAUUAUUAUGCUCAUUCUUUUUUUUUUUAACCAGUAAGGAUCUGGAUAAAGAAAAACAUUUUAGAAAACCACUUGUAGAGUACCAUGAACCAGUCUCUCUUCUCCAUUUUAAAAAAUUUAUUGACUCACUUUUUUUCCAUAACUUUUUGAGAUAUUAUUUCAACCACUUUGCAUUUAGAGAAAAAGAGUCAGAGAGUGAUUAAGAAAUCUGCCCAAUGCUAUACUGAUAGAAGCUGGGAGAACUGGGAUUUGAGCUUACAUAGGCUAGUUCUAGCAUUUGUGAAGUUCUCGCCUAAUAAAAAUUAUCUGUAAUCAUAACCAGAGCAAGUCAUUUCUAACCUCCUGUCUAUAGACACGCGGAUACAUUUGUAAUGUUUUUGUUUGUUUGUUUUUAGCACGACAGAUCAAUUCCUGCUGGCAUUAUAGUUCUUUAACUAUCAUAGCUUCUCUGAUUUUUCAACACAUCUGUCAUCCGUAUUCUGCAGGCAUAGCCAACUCUGUCAGUGUCUCCUCAGGCAAUCAGAAUCAACAGACAGAAUGUAGGACAGAAAACUGGCUGCAAACAUGUUGGAAGGGCUGGAGGAGCGAAAGAGGGAAGAUCUGUUACCUAGAGAUAGUAACUUCCAGAAGUUACCACUAUACUAGUGCAGGAGAAGCAGAAAGGAAGAUGCUGCUACCCAGAGCCCACAGUCAUUGUGCCCCUGAUGCCGCUGGAACCCCACUGCAGCUGCUUUACAGGAAGCAGGGAAUUAGCGCUCUUGCUGAUGCUACAGGUAUCCAGGAUCCAAAAGUCAUCAGCCGCUGUCCCUGUUGCAGCCUAGGGAAACUGUCCCACUGAGGUUGUUGGGGUACCUGCUACUGCAUCUACUGUCUGAACCAUGUUGCCUGAGCAGAUGUCCAGGGCUCAGGCUUGCCUGCUGCUGUUACUGCUGCCACCAUGUUUAUCAGAGCUACUUCAAGAAGAGAAGAAAUCCUCCUCAUUUCCAGUUUUUUCCAGUGCCUCCCAUUGCUUCCCAGAAUGCCAAAUUCUCUUUGAGAGACAGCUGAAAGGAAGGUUUGGAAAAGACUCUGGUGUAAGCAGAUUCUGCUUCCCUGCAAUAGGGGGAAAGCAUAGGGUGGAACUGGAGCUGAGAGCUAAUCACGAAUGAGCAAAUCAGUCUUCAAGACAUUUACCUUUCCUUGAAACGUUUCCCUUCUUUUACCGUGUUUUCCAUGUCAUUAUUUUUCCACAAUUCUGCAUCAUAUUCUGUUAACUAUUAAUGCCCUGGAUAAGUUUAUUUGCUCUUUCUUAGGGUUAAUUUUUCUCCUUUUCUUCGAAGCUUUAGUUUGCAGGUUCAGCUUGUGUGGGAAUUUUCAUCUCCCUCCUCUUCAAGACUCCUUGGAUAUCAGUUUUUUGGUUGCCUUCACCAACUCUCCCCCCACCAUCUCUAGACCAGGGCAUGGUCUUAGUUGGUGGCUUGGACUCCUGUGGCUUGGAGUCUUUGGGGAUAUUAGAGAUCCAGUCACUGAGCUGGCAAAGGGAACACUGUCCUUGCUUCCAGCUUUAUGAAGAACGCUUUGCUCUGUCACCCCACGUAAAUAAUCAUGUUAUUCAAGGAUAAUGAAUGCAGCCACCAUGUAAUCAUCACUGACUCCAUGGCCAUGAGAAAAGAGACCUAAGAAAUGAUGCCCAUCCAGAAGAGUGAAGACUUCCUGAAAAUGUUCUUUUAACCUAAGAUGUAGGUUAAGAGGAGUGAAAAAAUGUUCUGUUUCUGACUGAUGAUGGAGCAACAAAGUAUCUAAUAGAUUUAAAAGGAAGACAAUAUGGCACAGACUAUUUCGGAAACCUAUGCCCAUUCUGCCAAGAGGAUAUCGCUAUUGGUGGUCAGACUAUUUCACUUAUAAGGUUUCUUUUUUCCUUAAGUCAUAAAGAUUAACAUUUACUAAAAAUUUGAGGGUCCAUUAAUGGACUCCCACAUGGCUUUCCUCUUUCCUUUGAGCUGGAUUCAUUUUCACUGAGUCCCGAGUCCUGCACAUCUGACAAUUGCUUCAGACCUUGGACAUGCUUGAAUUAUUUUAUGCAAAUCAUUUGAAAAGGCAAAGUACCACUGUUCUUUCUUGAGUUUCUUCGUAAACUGGUUUCUAAUUUAUCUGCUGCUUUUUCUCGAUCCAAUUUGUGCCUAUGUCUUACUAUAGAUUCUUUGGAAAUAAAGAAAUAAAGAAUAUAUCUGUAGCUAUUUUGUUAAACUAAGAAUGUUUUAAAAUAUUUUAUUGUAAAAUAAAAUUCCUUUGUUCUCUCAGAA
rnacentral:lncRNA from 1 species